UACGGAGGGUCCAAGCGUUAUCCGGAAUCAUUGGGUUUAAAGGGUCCGUAGGCGGGCUAAUAAGUCAGAGGUGAAAGUUUGCAGCUCAACUGUAAAAUUGCCUUUGAUACUGUUAGUCUUGAGUUAUAGUGAAGUGGUUAGAAUAAGUGGUGUAGCGGUGAAAUGCAUAGAUAUCACUUAGAAUACCGAUUGCGAAGGCAGAUCACUAACUGUAUACUGACGCUGAGGGACGAAAGCAUGGGUAGCGAACGGG
rnacentral:rRNA from 1 species